AUUUGGGGUUUUGGGGGUCAAAUUUGGGGUUUUUGGGUCAGAUUUGGGUUUUUUGGGUCCAGAUUUGGGGUUUUUUGGGUCCAAUUUGGGUCAGAUUUGGGGUUUUUUGGAUCAUAUUUGGGGUUUUUUUGGGUCAAAUUGGGUCAGAUUUGGGGUUUUUUUGGGUCAGAUUUGGGUUUUUAGGGUCCAAAUUGGGUCAAAUUUGGGUUUUUUGGGGUCAAAUUGGGGCAGAUUUGGGGUUUUUUGGGUCAGAUUUGGGGUUUUUUAGGCUCCAAUUUGGGUCAAAUUUGGGGUUUUUGGGGUCAAAUUGGGUCAGAUUUGGGGUUUUUUUGGGUCAGAUUUGGGGUUUUUUGGAUCAUAUUUGGGGUUUUUUGGGUCCAAAUUGGGUCAAAUUUGGG
rnacentral:lncRNA from 1 species